rnacentral:rRNA from 1 species
UACGUAGGGGGCAAGCGUUGUCCGGAAUCAUUGGGCGUAAAGAGCGCGUAGGCGGCCCAGUAAGUCCGCUCUGAAAGUCAGAGGCUCAACCUCUGAAUGCGGGUGGAUACUGCUGGGCUAGAGUCCGGAAGAGGCGAGUGGAAUUCCUGGUGUAGCGGUGAAAUGCGCAGAUAUCAGGAGGAACACCGAUGGCGAAGGCAGCUCGCUGGGACGGUACUGACGCUGAGGCGCGAAAGCUAGGGGAGCAAACGGG